AACGUAGGAGACAAACGUUAUCCGGAGUUACUGGGCGUAAAGGGCGUGUAGGUGGUAUCGUAAGUCUGGCGUGAAAUUUCUCGGCUUAACCGAGGCAGGUCGUCGGAUACUGCGAGGCUAGAGGACGGUAGAGGCGUGUGGAAUUCCGGGUGUAGUGGUGAAAUGCGUAGAUAUCGGGAGGAACACCUGAGGCGAAGGCGGGCUACUGGGCUGAUACUGACGCUGAGGCGCGAAAGCCAGGGGAGCAAACGGG
rnacentral:rRNA from 1 species